GGAUCCGGUUCCUAGCCCGGAGUGACGGCGGAUCUGCCAUCUUUGUGUGGGGCUUGGGGGCUGGACGAGAUUACUAAAGAUCAGUAAACAUUAAAUUAAAAAGUUACAGAAUUGGGACGCUCUCCACUCCACUUCAGUAGAGGUAGAUACACGGACUCGUAGAAGCCGGGACCUUUAUCGCUUCGGAGAGGAAGGGAUUUCUCCCAGGGCACAGCGAAGGCAAGGACCCCAAAACAAAGCUGGCUUCAAAUCAUAUUCACUGCUUCUUAACUAUGAAGAAAUCACUCCCCACUUUGACGGCAUCCUCCGCAGCUGAUUGGGACCUUUCUCACGGCUUGACACCCAGUUUUUGAACAUAGAAGUUACUGGUGGCGGUUGCUCUCUGACAGAAGCCAGAGGAGGGUGUUAGGUCUCCUGGAACUGGAGUUGCAGUUGUGAGCUGCAUGGGUGCUGAGAAUUGAACCUGAACCCGCAGGAGCAGCAGCUAGCGAACCACUCAGCCAUCUCUCCAGUCCUGGAGCCUUCUGCAGGGACACAAGGAGAUCAAGGCCAACCUGGGUUACAGGCAUCUGUCUCAACAUAACAGCAAGGACACUAGCUGUUUGUCACCUUUGAGGUCAGAAAACCUGGCGGAUGCUCUAGAGAAGGGUAAAGCAGCGGAGCAGAUGAAAAGGACGGAGGAAAGGAAUGGAGAUAAUGGACAGUUUUACCAAUGUGGAUUCCUUCUGCUGUUUCCAAGACACUUCCUCAAAAAGGGAAGAGAAAGCAGAGUCACAAAACAGUCUCCUCUGCCUCCAGCCUCUGACCCCCUACACAGACUCUUACCCUGAAUUCCACUCCUAGUGGUGCCUCAAGGCCUCUGUCAGGCAGAGCUCUUCUGUGGUGCAGGGUUUUGUCCCUCUAUCCCUGACACACAGAUUUUGUAAGCAUCUUGACUUCCUGGCAUGCUAGCUCCCCUAGCCACUUGUCACCCUUCACAGUGGUGUUCCUCUCACUCAACCUGGCCUUGACAGAGGUGAUUGUCAGACCCAGUGGCAGCAACAGUAGGGUCAGCAGGUAAAUGGCUCGCAGAGACUGAAGCUUUGCCUAAGGGGCGGCAUUGCCGCCCCCAGUGGGAGUUGUGGGGCUCAUUCCCCGGAAGCGGCUUUCUCUGGUAUCAAAAGCCUAUGUCACAGAGGUCAGAUAAUGACAUCAUAGAUUCUGUCCCCCC